rnacentral:rRNA from 1 species
AGUGAACGCUGGCGGUAGGCCUAACACAUGCAAGUCGAACGGCAGCACAGUAAGGGCUUGCUCUUACGGGUGGCGAGUGGCGGACGGGUGAGGAAUACAUCGGAAUCUACUUUUUCGUGGGGGAUAACGUAGGGAAACUUACGCUAAUACCGCAUACGACCUACGGGUGAAAGCAGGGGAUCUUCGGACCUUGCGCGAUUGAAUGAGCCGAUGUCGGAUUAGCUAGUUGGCGGGGUAAAGGCCCACCAAGGCGACGAUCCGUAGCUGGUCUGAGAGGAUGAUCAGCCACACUGGAACUUAGACACGGUCCAGACUCCUACGGGAGGCAGCAGUGGGGAAUAUUGGACAAUGGGCGCAAGCCUGAUCCAGCCAUACCGCGUGGGUGAAGAAGGCCUUCGGGUUGUAAAGCCCUUUUGUUGGGAAAGAAAAGCAGCAGGUUAAUACCCCGCUGUUCUGACGGUACCCAAAGAAUAAGCACCGGCUAACUUCGUG